rnacentral:rRNA from 1 species
AUGGCCGCCUCAGCGUCCUGCAUUUCUCUGGUGGUGCUCGUGGCUUUGGCCACGGCGGCGUCGGGGCAGUUGUCGCCGACGUUCUACGACACGUCGUGCCCCAGGGCUCUGGCCACCAUCAAGAGCGGCGUCAUGGCCGCCGUGAGCAGCGACCCUCGGAUGGGCGCGUCACUGCUCCGGCUGCACUUCCACGACUGCUUCGUUCAAGGCUGCGACGCGUCUGUUCUGCUGUCUGGCAUGGAACAAAACGCUAUCCCGAACGCGGGGUCGCUGAGGGGCUUCGGCGUCAUCAACAGCAUCAAGACGCAGAUCGAGGCCAUCUGUAAUCAGACCGUCUCUUGCGCUGACAUCCUCACCGUCGCCGCCCGCGACUCCGUCGUCGCCCUCGGGGCCCGUCAUGGACAGUCCCUUUGGGGAGAAGAGAUUCCAUAG